UCCCUGGUGGUCCAGUGGCUAAGACUCUGUCCUCCUAACGCAGGGGGUCUGGGUUCGAUUCCUGGUCAGGGAA
rfam:Ovis aries breed Texel chromosome 10, whole genome shotgun sequence.